AUUGAACGCUGGCGGCAUGCCUUACACAUGCAAGUCGAACGGCAGCACGGGUGCUUGCACCUGGUGGCGAGUGGCGAACGGGUGAGUAAUACAUCGGAACAUGUCCUGUAGUGGGGGAUAGCCCGGCGAAAGCCGGAUUAAUACCGCAUACGAUCUACGGAUGAAAGCGGGGGACCUUCGGGCCUCGCGCUAUAGGGUUGGCCGAUGGCUGAUUAGCUAGUUGGUGGGGUAAAGGCCUACCAAGGCGACGAUCAGUAGCUGGUCUGAGAGGACGACCAGCCACACUGGGACUGAGACACGGCCCAGACUCCUACGGGAGGCAGCAGUGGGGAAUUUUGGACAAUGGGCGAAAGCCUGAUCCAGCAAUGCCGCGUGUGUGAAGAAGGCCUUCGGGUUGUAAAGCACUUUUGUCCGGAAAGAAAUCCUUGGCCCUAAUACGGUCGGGGGAGGACGGUACCGGAAGAAUAAGCACCGGCUAACUACGU
rnacentral:rRNA from 1 species